rnacentral:lncRNA from 1 species
AAAUAACAAAUAUGUAACACAAAAUUAUAAUAUGAUGGAUAAUAUAAUUCUACUAAUUACAAUUAUCAGUUUAUCAUCAACAAGACUUUAUGUUUUAGGAAUGUUGUUUGAUUGUUUUACUGUGAUUAACUACAUAUUUUCCAAUAUAUAUAACUACCACUACUAAAAAUAGGCAAAAUAAUAACAGAAAUUCUAUGAUUUAUCUCGUAAGGAACUCACACAAGCAGGUGUAAAUUAAGCGGAAACAAAACUCUUUCCCUCUUUGUGUGAUUAAAAUAGGAUGUGUACCAUAAAUAAAUAAGUAAAAAAUAAACCAACACAAUCCAAAGCAAUAAACCUGUUAGCCUAAAGGGCUUACAAAUAAUGUAAUUUUGAUGAUAAUAAACAUAUGUCUUAAGUGAUUUGAAAAAUAUUGUAUUUCACAUUUCACUAGUUCUUGAAGGAAAAUAUUUAUGAUGAAGUGAAUCACGUGAAAUCAAACUCAAGACACUCAAAGGACAACGACGAGAUUAAGAAUAAAGUUUAGAGCUCAGCGGACUCAUUAUUGCGACAAUUCUUGUAAAACCGGUAUGAUUUAAUAUAUGAAUGGUUUAGCAUUUGAGAAACUCAAAAUUUUGUUUAAUAAAUCAUUAUUUUUCAUAAACUAAAUGUUUAACAAUUAUGAGCCAAGUAUUUUAGGCAAUUAUUUGUUUUUCAAGAUGUGGACUAAAAUGAAAAAGUUUUGUAAUCUUUGAUUUUAAUAAGUCUUGUUUUAAGUUCCGGAUUUGGACCUAUUGGCAAAUCUUUCAAACGAUUUGUGCCAUACUAUAAUUUCUAAAGGUUUGGGGCUAAAGUGUAAAUAUUAAAAAUAGACAGAGAGUUGGCCGCUAACC